rnacentral:misc_RNA from 1 species
CGGAUUUAUCUAUUUUCCCUGUUCCAGAAGAUGAUGUCUUAGGGGUGGAACAUUUCUUGGAACCUGACUUUAACAAAUGCUUUUCUGGCAGUGUUCUAGAUUUCAACACGUUCCACUCUCAUAAGUGCUUAGGCAUUGAACAUUUUUCGUUUGCUGUUGAUUUUGAUCAGAUAAAGAUUGAUAGUGAAUCACUGCAUUCUAG